rnacentral:rRNA from 1 species
GACGAACGCUGGCGGCGUGCUUAACACAUGCAAGUCGAACGGAAAGGCCCUGCUUUUGUGGGGUGCUCGAGUGGCGAACGGGUGAGUAACACGUGAGUAACCUGCCCUUGACUUUGGGAUAACUUCAGGAAACUGGGGCUAAUACCGGAUAGGAGCUCCUGCUGCAUGGUGGGGGUUGGAAAGUUUCGGCGGUUGGGGAUGGACUCGCGGCGUAUCAGCUUGUUGGUGGGGUAGUGGCUUACCAAGGCUUUGACGGGUAGCCGGCCUGAGAGGGUGACCGGCCACAUUGGGACUGAGAUACGGCCCAGACUCCUACGGGAGGGAGCAGUGGGGAAUACUGCACAAUGGGCGGAAGCCUGAUGCAGCAACGCCGCGUGCGGGAUGACGGCCUUCGGGUUGUAAACCGCUUUCGCCUGUGACGAAGCGUGAGUGACGGUAAUGGGUAAAGAAGCACCGGCUAACUACGUG